rnacentral:rRNA from 1 species
UNUGACUUGAGUGCAGAAGGGGAGAGUGGAAUUCCAUGUGUAGCGGUGAAAUGCGUAGAUAUAUGGAGGANCACCAGUGGCGAAAGCGGCUCUCUGNUCUGUCACUGACGCUGAGGCUCGAAAGCGUGGGUAGCGAACAGGAUUAGAUACCCUGGUAGUCCACGCCGUAAACGAUGAGUGCUAGGUGUUAGGCCCUUUCCGGGGCUUAGUGCCGGAGCUAACGCAAUAAGCACUCCGCCUGGGGAGUACGACCGCAAGGUUGAAACUCAAAGGAAUUGACGGGGGCCCGCACAAGCGGUGGAGCAUGUGGUUUAAUUCGAAGCAACGCGAAGAACCUUACCAGGUCUUGACAUCCCGAUGCUAUUCUUAGAGAUAGGAAGUUACUUCGGUACAUCGGAGACAGGUGGUGCAUGGUUGUCGUCAGCUCGUGUCGUGAGAUGUUGGGUUAAGUCCCGCAACGAGCGCAACCCUUAUUGUUAGUUGCCAUCAUUAAGUUGGGCACUCUAGCGAGACUGCCGGUAAUAAACCGGAGGGAGGUGGGGAUGACGUCAAAUCAUCAUGCCCCUUAUGACCUGGGCUACACACGUGCUACAAUGGUCGGUACAACGAGUUGCGAGCCGGUGACGGCAAGCUAAUCUCUGAAAGCCGAUCUCAGUUCGGAUUGUAGGCUGCAACUCGUCUCCAUGAAGUCGGAAUCGCUAGUAAUCGCGGAUCAGCACGCCGCGGUGAAUACGUUCCCGGGCCUUGUACACACCGCCCGUCACACCACGAGAGUUUGUAACACCCGAAGUCGGUGAGGUAACCUUCUA